ACGGGGUGCAGCAGGCGCGAAAACUUUACAAUGCGGGAAACCGCGAUAAGGGGACACCGAGUGCCAGCAUAUUAUGUUGGCUGUCCAUAUGUAUAAAUAACAUGUGUUAGCAAGGGCUGGGCAAGACCGGUGCCAGCCGCCGCGGUAACACCGGCGGCCCGAGUGGUAGCCACUAUUAUUGGGUCUAAAGGGUCCGUAGCCGGUUUGAUCAGUCUUCCGGGAAAUCUGACAGCUCAACUGUUAGGCUUCCGGGGGAUACUGUCAGACUUGGACCGGGAGAGGCUAGAGGUACUUCUGGGGUAGGGGUAAAAUCCUGUAAUCCUAGAAGGACCACCGGUGGCGAAGGCGUCUAGCUAGAACGGAUCCGACGGUGAGGGACGAAGCCCUGGGUCGCAAACGGGAUUAGAUACCCCGGUAGUCCAGGGUGUAAACGCUGCAGGCUUGGUGUUGGGGACCCUUCGUGGGUGUUCAGUGCCGGAGAGAAGUUGUUAAGCCUGCUACUUGGGGAGUACGUCCGCAAGGAUGAAACUUAAAGGAAUUGGCGGGGGAG
rnacentral:rRNA from 1 species